rnacentral:rRNA from 1 species
CCUANGGGGGCAGCAGUGGGGAAUUUUGGACAAUGGGGGAAACCCUGAUCCAGCCAUUCCGCGUGAGUGAAGAAGGCCUUCGGGUUGUAAAGCUCUUUCAGGAGGGAAGAAACGGUUUUGGAUAAUACCUGAGACUAAUGACGGUACCUUCAGAAGAAGCACCGGCUAACUACGUGCCAGCAGCCGCGGUAAUACGUAGGGUGCGAGCGUUAAUCGGAAUUACUGGGCGUAAAGCGUGCGCAGGCGGUUUUGUAAGUCAGAUGUGAAAGCCCCGGGCUCAACCUGGGAACUGCGUUUGAAACUACAAGGCUAGAGUGUAGCAGAGGGGGGUAGAAUUCCACGUGUAGCAGUGAAAUGCGUAGAGAUGUGGAGGAAUACCGAUGGCGAAGGCAGCCCCCUGGGUUAACACUGACGCUCAUGUACGAAAGCGUGGGGAGCAAACAGGAUUAGAUACCCUANUANUC